rnacentral:rRNA from 1 species
UAUCAUUUGGGCCGACCUCAGAGCA